GCAAGUCGAACGAGAAAACACCUUCGGGUGGAGUACUAGUGGCGCACGGGUGAGGAACACGUGGAUAAUCUGCCCUCUAGUGGGGAAUAACUAACCGAAAGGUUAGCUAAUACCGCAUAAGACCACAGUCUCUGCGGAGACAGUGGUUAAAGAUUUAUCGCUAGAGGAUGAGUCCGCGUCCAAUUAGCUUGUUGGUGGGGUAAAGGCCUACCAAGGCUACGAUUGGUAACUGGUCUGAGAGGAUGAUC
rnacentral:rRNA from 1 species